rnacentral:rRNA from 1 species
CCUACGGGAGGCAGCAGUGGGGAGUAUUGGACAAUGGGGGAAACCCUGAUCCAGCCAUGCCGCGUGAGUGAUGAAGGCCUUCGGGUUGUAAAGCUCUUUUAGCGGGGAAGAUAAUGACGGUACCCGCAGAAUAAGCCCCGGCCAACUUCGUGCCAGCAGCCGCGGUAAGACGAAGGGGGCUAGCGUUGUUCGGAAUUACUGGGCGUAAAGGGCGCGCAGGCGGCUCUACAAGUCAGGCGUUAAAGACCCAGGCUCAACCUGGGGAAUGCGCUUGAUACUGUAGGGCUUGAGAUCGGAAGAGGAGAGUGGAAUUCCCAGUGUAGAGGUGAAAUUCGUAGAUAUUGGGAAGAACACCAGUGGCGAAGGCGGCUCUCUGGUCCGAUUCUGACGCUGAGGCGCGAAAGCGUGGGGAGCAAACAGGAUUAGAUACCCCUGUAGUC